AUGGAUUUGGUGUCCAGGACAUGUGGAGUUGAGAUCAGAGUAAUGACAUCCUGUAUGCGCUUGGACACCCAGCAGAUUGAAAAUAUAGAAGCAAAGAUAUCCAAUACGAGGCCACGAUGCCCGACAGAGAUGCAGCCAAUACGCGCCCAAUCUUUAUUUCUUGAUGUUGGAACAACAAAUAAGAGCAUGUUCAUGUUUAUUUAUUAUGGUUUUUUUUCGAGAAAUUUUGGGGAUUUACAAGCUGAAAUUAUUGACUGUCUGAAAAAAUGUUUUAACCAAAACUGUUUGAACAAUGUGCCCUGGUUCUGCAUUCAUGGAACUGUAAAAAAAAUUGAACAAGUUCAGUCGGAGUUUUGUUCCUGUUAA
rnacentral:rRNA from 1 species